rnacentral:rRNA from 1 species
UACGAAGGUCCCGAGCGUUGUUCGGAAUCACUGGGCGUAAAGGGAGCGUAGGCGGCGCGGUAAGUCAGAUGUGAAAUCCCGGGGCUCAACCCCGGAACUGCAUCCGAUACUGCCGUGCUAGAGGAUUGGAGAGGUAGCUGGAAUUCUUGGUGUAGCAGUGAAAUGCGCAGAUAUCAGGAGGAACACCGGUGGCGAAGGCGGAUCUCUGGGCCUUACCUGACGCUCAGGCGCGAAAGCUAGGGGAGCGAAUGGG